ACAUGGGUUUGGAUUUGUGGCAGGUCUGUCUCCCUGGGCCUCCCAUAAUGCCCCAGGCCAGAGCCAGCUGGCCCCAAACCACUGCCUGGCCUGUGCUACUGGUGCCACAGCAGGUGGCACAGUG
rnacentral:snoRNA from 1 species